rnacentral:rRNA from 1 species
AGAGUGAACGCUGGCGGCAGGCCUAACACAUGCAAGUCGAACGGCAGCACAGAGGAGCUUGCUCCUUGGGUGGCGAGUGGCGGACGGGUGAGGAAUACGUCGGAAUCUGCCUAUUUGUGGGGGAUAACGUAGGGAAACUUACGCUAAUACCGCAUACGACCUACGGGUGAAAGCGGAGGACCUUCGGGCUUCGCGCAGAUAGAUGAGCCGACGUCGGAUUAGCUAGUUGGCGGGGUAAAGGCCCACCAAGGCGACGAUCCGUAGCUGGUCUGAGAGGAUGAUCAGCCACACUGGAACUGAGACACGGUCCAGACUCUACGGGAGCAGCAGUGGGGAAUAG